CGUCGUUUCUUUCGACCAAAAGGAAGAGAGGUCCCAGAUGCGGCCGCCCUUCUCCCCACGCACAUUUCUUCUUUCUUUCUCUCCCAGACCCAUUCGCGGCGGAGGCUGGAGGCAGAAAGGUGGGCGCCGCCGCCGCAGAAGAGGGCCAGCGCGCCCGCACCGCUGGUCAAGUUGCGUCUGGAGGCGAUGAGGGGGAGCAACCGCGCCCGGAGGAGGUCGUCCCCGGAGCAGCACGCUGCUGACGACUAUGAUGCUGCCUGGAUGCUGGACGAGGACGACUCCCUCAAGCUCGUCGCCUCCCAGUUUCACGCGCUGGCAGUAGUAGCGACGACGGCCAGUGAGCAGCAACCUAAGGUGCCGGCGUUAAGCGCGGAUGGCCAGAUCUGUGCGCGCGGAGGGCAUGGCCGAUGCUGGGAGGGAGGUCUUGCCGCCGCCCUCCAAGCAGUCGGUAGGCGCAAUGGAUCCUAAAGCUCCUGAAUGGAUCAAAAGGGGUCAGGAUUGGGGUGGAAGCCCCUGUUAGGACACCUUCUCCCAGUCAAGCACGAGCCGGUGGCGGUGACGCUGCAUAUGUUAUCCAGGAUCCUGCUCAGGGGUUGUACCAUUGGCGACGAGAUCCAGAAGAUGGCCACGGCGGCAGUGGUGGCGGCGGUUGCCCCGGGUGGUGAUGUAGAGGGGAGGAACCAGUAGCAGGUGAGCACGAAGAUCUCUGAAAGUUUUUCUUCGGAAUAUAAUAACCAGGUUGCGUUUGUUUCGUGCACAUACAUAAAUGGAUCGCUCUUCUUCUUGGAGCCCCAGGUUGUGGCAAAACCCCCUAUUGCUAGCACUUGCAGGAAAGCUCAACCAAAACCAAGAGAUCAUGGAUGUUGUGGUGGCAGCGGCUACUCCUGGUGCGUGCUGAUCAGGACACAGCCCAACAUGGACGUGUAAAACACAUGCAAUCAGAUUAUCUCCAGGCUAGCCAUGUGUCAAACAAAAUGCAAAAAAGAAAUUGAAAUGGGCGCCACCUACCUGGCACCGCAGAGCUUCCGCUCAGGUGUCGCACCGAGGGUGAGCCUGCAUCCCCGUCGUCGACCUUGCGCACAGGGAAGGUCGCCGCUGCUGGCCGAGGUCGCUCAGGUCGAGAGCGCACCCACCGGCCUGAAGCUCAUCUAGGAGCCCUGAACUCAAGGUCAGCGGCAGAGAUGGGCGUCCCUACCAGUGGCUCUUCAAGAGAGAGGAGUGAGAACAUGAUGGAGGCGGGGUGUUCGAUCUGUGGUCCACUUCGAUGCGGGACGUGGAGGCGCGAUCCGACAAAGCCUCCUUACGCUCCGACAAAGCAGAUUUUGUUUUUUCUACCAUUAAACCUGCAAAGAAAAGAAAUCUUCUCUGGAGCAAUUAGUAUUCUCUAUUUUUCUAACGAGUGUAUGUGAACUCAUUCAGACAGUAGAGGAACAGUUAUCACUAUCUUUGUGUUUUAGUAAGUAUUCGCUCCGUUCCAAAAUAGACCCAACUUUGUACUAACUUCAGUACAAAGUUGAGUCAUCUAUUUUGGAACGGAGGGAGUAUAUGUGGAUGCACAUCAAGUGUUCUCUGUUUUUAAUGGGUUAUAUGUUGAUGCAUAGAAAAUGUAUAUGAGGAUUUCCAUUCCGGUAUACAUGGGUAGUACAUGGAGCCUUAUUUAGUUUGUCCGAACAGUAAUACUUAUUCACAGAUUUUGUUA